ensembl:lncRNA
CCUCGAUUUAAUGUUUAUGUGCGUGUGUGUGAGAAAGAGAAAAAGAUAAAGAGAGAGUGAGAGAGCUCUGGUUCUCAUUGAGUUUGGCAUUACUUUACAGAAAAAAAAAGAUUUACAGGCCAAAAAAACAGAUGGAAGAAUGCAGUACAAAGUAGGAGGAGAGAAAAGAGAGAGAGUUCAGGUUUGCAAAGUAUCUUUAGAUGUUUUUCACAGUCCAUGUGUAAGUGGAGGUGAGUGUGUGCAUGUGUGCAUGUGUGUGUGUGUGUGUGUGUGUGUGCAUCCAUGCUGUUAAUGGAUUGCUAAUUAAAGACUUCUCAGGUGAAGCCAGAAAAAGCAGGAGAGGAAAUGGAGGAGUGGAGUGCCAGGUAAGAGGAGACGGUAGAAAUAGAUUAUCAAAUGAAGAGAGAGGAUGGGGGAAGCAAGACAAACCUGAAGGAGGGGCAGAGGGAGAGGAAAGGUAUGUGGCUGCCUGGGAAUACAGAGAUAGAAAGAGUAGGAAAAGAAGGCAAAGAGAUUAAAUAGGCACGGAAAGAGAGAUCAGAGAGGAGAGACUCUGGUAAAAAAUUUCUACACCAAUUAAAAGAAAUAGCAAAGGAAUGAAAGGAUGAUUCUGUCAGUACGACUGCUCUGUUAGCGUAACCCUAUCUGCUCUGAGCCGUAACAUACAGUCACUCCAUUCUACACACACACACUUCUAAUGAGCACUCCGGGGCUUAUACACAAUACUGAGACUUCUGUGAGUUAUUUAAAGAGAAGAGCGAUCAGACAGAAUCAGCUUUGAUCAAGAUUUGUGCUUUGAGGAUUAAUAUCUUGCCUUUUAUAAAUCCACAAACGUCCUUCCGUGAGAAAUGCACCUGCUCUGUCAUCUGUUGUUCUUGACAGUUACCCUUCACCUUGGUGUCGUCAAGGCUGGAAGAGCCCAGCGUAAACAGAGGCAGGCUGAAGAGAAGCUGAGGCCGUAUUUGGGCAGAGUGGAUCCAGAAUCCCUUUGUCAGUUGUUGAAAUGUCACAGUCCUGUUGGUUCCUGGUGCCAAGUAGUGAAGGAGGGGGGAGUUCUCGCCCCUAAAUGUGUGUGUCCAAAGAUCUGCCCAUGGCAGGGGGCACCAGUGUGCAGCGUUUUGGGGAAGACGUACAGCAAUGAGUGUCUUCUUCACAAGGAGGCCUGCCGCAAAAAACGUCGCAUUGGCAAGGCGCAUAGUGGAGCCUGUAUUGUGAGCAAGGCUGAGUGCUCUGAGGAAGAGUUUGGUCAGUUCCCAUACCGUCUGCUGGACUGGUUCCUACUCCUCAGCAGAAUGGGAGAGAGAUACACACCAGCCGCUCCCUCACAAAGCUGCCUCACACACACACAGCGAACCCAGCUUGCAGAGAGGAGGUUUGUUCUGCUGGAUCGAAACAGGGACGGGAAGUUAAGCAGAAGAGAUCUGAGAAAGCUUCACUACAAGCGGAUGCCACUGGAGCACUGCGCUCAAAGAUUCUUCCAGUCAUGUGACAAGAACAAGAAUAAGAAGGUGACCCUGAGGGAGUGGACAUCCUGUCUGGUUGACCGGUCAGAACACUGGUUUCAGGAUUUCAUGUCCGUGAAGAUGGGCUCACCAAAGCUGUGUCCUGUCCCAGACAACAACCUUUAAAUUUAGAUGCUUUAUCCAGGUGGAAUCGUAUUUUAUACCUUAUCAUUUACCUAGAACUUAGAAUAAUUGAUACCUGGAGUCCUAAGCUAGCCAUUUUCAUUCUUGUUGGAUUAAAAAUAAAGUAAAAUAGUGAUAUUGUGAAAUAUUCUUA